rnacentral:rRNA from 1 species
CCUACGGGGGGCUGCAGUGGGGAAUAUUGGACAAUGGGGGGAACCCUGAUCCAGCCAUGCCGCGUGUGUGAAGAAGGCCCUCGGGUUGUAAAGCACUUUCAGUGAGGAAGAACGCCUGGUGGUUAAUACCCAUCAGGAAAGACAUCACUCACAGAAGAAGCACCGGCUAACUCCGUGCCAGCAGCCGCGGUAAUACGGAGGGUGCGAGCGUUAAUCGGAAUUACUGGGCGUAAAGCGCGCGUAGGUGGCUUGAUAAGCCGGUUGUGAAGCCCCGGGCUCAACCUGGGAACGGCAUCCGGAACUGUCAAGCUAGAGUGCAGGAGAGGAAGGUAGAAUUCCCGGUGUAGCGGUGAAAUGCGUAGAGAUCGGGAGGAAUACCAGUGGCGAAGGCGGCCUUCUGGACUGACACUGACACUGAGGUGCGAAAGCGUGGGUAGCAAACAGGAUUAGAUACCCUAGUAGUC